GCGUUCGGGUAACCGCUGCAGUUUUUCUGCAGAGGAAAGUCCAUGCUCGCACGGGCUGAGAUGUCCGUAGUGUUCGUGCCUGGCCAAUUCAUAAGCCAGGGCAGCCUGAUUGGCUGACGGCAGGGAAAAUGCCUAAGUCUUCGGAUAUGGCAUGAAUACCUAUAAAAGUGCCACAGUGACGUAGCCUUCCCAGAAAUGGGAAGGGUGGAACGAGGUAAACCCCGCGAGCGAGAAACCCAAAUAAUGGUAGGGGCACUUUCCUGGAGGAAAUGAACGAAGGGAAGGACAGGUGAUGCCACCUGUAGAUAGAUGGUUACCACCGGAGUGCGAGGCUAAUUGCCGGUCGCAGCACAAUGGAACAAAACAUGGCUUACAGAG
rnacentral:RNase_P_RNA from 2 species